rnacentral:rRNA from 1 species
CUACAGGCUUAACACAUGCAAGUCGAGGGGCAGCAUGGUCUUAGCUUGCUAAGGCCGAUGGCGACCGGCGCACGGGUGAGUAACACGUAUCCAACCUGCCGUCUACUCUUGGACAGCCUUCUGAAAGGAAGAUUAAUACAAGAUGGCAUCAUGAGUCCGCAUGUUCACAUGAUUAAAGGUAUUCCGGUAGACGAUGGGGAUGCGUUCCAUUAGAUAGUAGGCGGGGUAACGGCCCACCUUGUCUUCGAUGGAUAGGGGUUCUGAGAGGAAGGUCCCCCACAUUGGAACUGAGACACGGUCCAAACUCCUACGGGAGGCAGCAGUGAGGAAUAUUGGUCAAUGGGCGAGAGCCUGAACCAGCCAAGUAGCGUGAAGGAUGACUGCCUUAUGGGUUGUAAACUUCUUUUAUAAAGGAAUAAAGUCGGGUAUGGAUACCCGUUUGCAUGUACUUUAUGAAUAAGGAUCGGCUAACUCCGUGCCAGCAGCCGCGGUAAUACGGAGGAUUCGAGCGUUAUCCGGAUUUAUUGGGUUUAAAGGGAGCGUAGAUGGAUGUUUAAGUCAGUUGUGAAAGUUUGCGGCUCAACCGUAAAAUUGCAGUUGAUACUGGAUAUCUUGAGUGCAGUUGAGGCAGACGGAAUUCGUGGUGUAGCGGUGAAAUGCUUAGAUAUCACGAAGAACUCCGAUUGCGAAGGCAGCCUGCUAAGCUGCAACUGACAUUGAGGCUCGAAAGUGUGGGUAUCAAACAGGAUUAGAUACCCUGGUAGUCCACACGGUAAACGAUGAAUACUCGCUGUUUGCGAUAUACGGCAAGCGGCCAAGCGAAAGCGUUAAGUAUUCCACCUGGGGAGUACGCCGGCAACGGUGAAACUCAAAGGAAUUGACGGGGGCCCGCACAAGCGGAGGAACAUGUGGUUUAAUUCGAUGAUACGCGAGGAACCUUACCCGGGCUUAAAUUGCAGAUGAAUUACGGUGAAAGCCGUAAGCCGCAAGGCAUCUGUGAAGGUGCUGCAUGGUUGUCGUCAGCUCGUGCCGUGAGGUGUCGGCUUAAGUGCCAUAACGAGCGCAACCCUUGUUGUCAGUUACUAACAGGUUCUGCUGAGGACUCUGACAAGACUGCCAUCGUAAGAUGUGAGGAAGGUGGGGAUGACGUCAAAUCAGCACGGCCCUUACGUCCGGGGCUACACACGUGUUACAAUGGGGGGUACAGAGGGCCGCUACCACGCGAGUGGAUGCCAAUCCCAAAAACCUCUCUCAGUUCGGACUGGAGUCUGCAACCCGACUCCACGAAGCUGGAUUCGCUAGUAAUCGCGCAUCAGCCACGGCGCGGUGAAUACGUUCCCGGGCCUUGUACACACCGCCCGUCAAGCCAUGGGGGCCGGGGGUACCUGAAGUGCGUAACCGCGAGGAGCGCCCUAGGGUAAAACUGGUGACUGGGGCUAAGUCAUAAC